CCUACGGGAGGCAGCAGUGGGGAAUAUUGGGCAAUGGAGGAAACUCUGACCCAGCGACGCCGCGUGCGGGAUGAAGGCCUUCGGGUUGUAAACCGCUUUCAGUAGGGAAGAAGCGAAAGUGACGGUACCUACAGAAGAAGCACCGGCUAACUAUGUGCCAGCAGCCGCGGUAAUACAUAGGGUGCAAGCGUUGUCCGGAAUUAUUGGGCGUAAAGAGCUCGUAGGUGGUUCGUCACGUCGGAUGUGAAAAUCUGGGGCUCAACCCCAGACCUGCAUUCGAUACGGGCGAUCUAGAGUGUGGUAGGGGAGACUGGAAUUCCUGGUGUAGCGGUGGAAUGCGCAGAUAUCAGGAGGAACACCAAUGGCGAAGGCAGGUCUCUGGGCCAUUACUGACACUGAGGAGCGAAAGCGUGGGGAGCGAACAGGAUUAGAUACCCUGGUAGUCCACGCCGUAAACGGUGGGCACUAGUUGUGGGAACCUUCCACGGUUUCUGCGACGCAGCUAACGCAUUAAGUGCCCCGCCUGGGGAGUACGAUCGCAAGAUUAAACUCAAAUGAAUUGACGGCUUGAGACGNGCGACGGCGACGACGAGGGAGGAGG
rnacentral:rRNA from 1 species